UUGAGUCUGGUCACUAACGCGGGUCGGCCAAUGAAACGACGCCGUUGUGGCGUUUAAAUUUUGGCCCAAAACGACUCCAUUUAAUACUCCUUAUUUAAGCCAAAACUUUUUCAGAAAAAAAUCAUUUUAAACUCUUUCUAAAAAAAAACCAAAACUUCUUUUCUUUUUCUCUGCAGCAGGCGUAUCUCAGGCCAAUGCUCUGGCAAGCCACCACCGCACACGCCACCGCCGCCGCCAUAUAUGGCGGCCGACGUUAAAAAAGGUACGUGGGCGUGGAUGGCGUGGGCGCAUGGUGAAGAACGUGGGUGGUGGAGGCGUGGGUAGUAGAGGCUGAAACGUGCGGCGGCUGGUCAAUGUGGCUAGGGUUUUUUUUUUUUGCUGAAAAAUUUUGUUUGUUAUGGGCUGUUUGGGCUCUAGGGUUAGGUAUUAUUUUGGGUCUGUUUGGAUUUGGUUAUUUAGGGUUAGAAAUUAGAUUGGUAAUGGGUCUUGGGCCCUGAUAUUUGUAAAAGGGACAUUGGACCUUAAUUAUUUUUUGGUUUAAAUUUGUUUUAUUUUGUAAUCUGGGCCCGGGCUAAAAUUGGGUCUUACAGAUCUCAUUUCCUUUUCUGAAAUGAAUGCAUUCCUUAGAAGGAUAUUCAUACAUAA